rnacentral:lncRNA from 1 species
GCAUUGGGGGAAAGGGAGAGUAUCAUGCUUACAGAUACUCUCUGUAACCAUGCCUCUGGAUCACCUAAGGCAGAGAGGGAAGGAACCAACAGGUAUAUGAAGAAGACUCUAUUUCCUCCUCAGGAAGAAAAAAUCACUUAUAACACUCUCAAAACCAUUUCUAUCUUACACCUUCAGAGAAGCCAGCCUUCAUUAAAGACUGAAUGAAGUAAAAUAAAGACUUAACACAGACUGGCAAAUUGGAUAAAGAGUCAAGACCAAUCAGUGCGCUUUAUUCAGGAGACCCAUCUCAUGUGCAGAGACACACAUAGGCUCAAAAUAAAAGGAUGGAGGAAGAUCUACCAAGCAAAUGGAAAACAAAAAAAGGCAGGGGUUGCAAUCCUAGUCUCUGAUAAAACAGACUUUAAACCAACAAAGAUCAAAAGAGACAAAGACGGCCAUUACGUAAUGGUAAAGGGAUCAAUUCAACAAGAAGAGCUAACUAUCCUAAAUAUAUAUGCACCCAAUAUAGGAACACCCAGAUUUAUAAAGCAAGUCCUAAGAGACCAAUGAAGAGACUUAGACUCCCACACAAUAAUAAUGGGAGA